CAAACACAAAAGGAUAGAAAACAAGAAAAAAAAAAAAACAAUGUACUUUUGCGGGAUCUCGCAAAACUUUUUUUCUACUUUUGGAACUUGC